AGGAGUGAAAAGUACAGUGUUUGUCCUUUAAAUGUAGUGAAGUUAAAGUCAUACUUAAAAGAAAACUUAAAUGAUAAGUAAAUGUACUUUUCCACCUGUUACCAAGAAGUCUGAGACAUAUAGAUCCGUUGCUAAGGUAACAAACAAGGGAAAAGAGACAAGAAACCAUGGGAAGCAAACACUUCAAAAUAAGAGUCUCUAAACCAAGACAGAGAAACAGAGACGGGUAGCACAGACAGUUUGGAGGUCAUGGGCACUCCAGCCGGCGAUCGUGGUUAUUAAAUCUAUUUUUUAAAUAUAGUUCUCAUAGUUUAUUAUUUAAAAAGCUCUGCAUCACUCAAAAGUGCUGGAAAUGAGCCCUGAUUCAGAUCUGGAGGAGCUUUUCCACUUGUUUCAGUUUAAAAUGUUUAGACUAAAUUAUAAAGCAUGCCUUUCAUCAGUCAUAUUCACUGCGUUUUCUUUACAAACACGUUUUAAGUCAAACAAGAGUCAACCGAGUCAACCGAGUUAACCGAGUCAACCGAGUUAACCGCACAUGCUUGCAGUGAACAAAAAGAGAUGUUAAGUUUAUUGUAUGUUUCAGUGGGAUAUAACUCAGUCUAAGCUUACACUGGGUACUAAACAUCAAGCCAUGAUGAUGAUGAUGAUGAUGAUGAUGAUGAUGAUGAUGGUGGUGGUAUUUGUAACAGAGCUGUAUGUGGGUUAGAUUUUUUUCUGGAUGUUUAUGAUCACAGUCUGAUCACAUCUGUGAAGACAUCACUGAAUUACUAUAGUAAUGCAAUCAUCAAAGAACUCAAACAUGUGCAGAAAAGAGAUGUCUGUGAGACCUCAGUCUAUCAGUCUAUUUCUUUACGGACUUAUUUCAGACUUAUUACUUAUAUUUCUUUCUUUCAUGCUCUGAAGAAUAAACACCAGCAUACAAGAUCCUCAGGCAGGACAGAUGAGUUCUAGAGAAGAAAGGUCACACUUCUGAUGAAUUCCUGCUUCAGCCUCCUUCACAUCAGAGUAAAGUGAAAGUGAAAGAGCAGAGCUUUAAAGCCUUCGGUGUAUUUGUUCUCUUCUCACACGUUCAUCACGAGUUCGGAUUAAACGCGUUCUUCUGUUGGUGAGGAGACUCGAUCGACUCCAGAGAUCAUGAUUUAAUGCCGGGAGCCUGCAGACCCGUGAAGACCACCACAAGCUCCACAAAACCACUGGGACUUGUACGAGCUCUUCAUCUGUUUGAGUAGAUGAAUAUCUGGAGCUGCUCUCCUGUUCCUCACUUGUUUAAUGUGUGUUCUCAGUUGCAUUUGAUGCACUUGAUGCUUUCUAGCGGUUCUGUGAUACGCUCUAAUCAGGUCUAAUGUUCACUCUUGCCUGAACAAAGAAAAAUAAACUGCUUUCCUCACUCAA